rnacentral:rRNA from 1 species
UGGGAAUUUUGGACAAUGGGCGAAAGCCUGAUCCAGCCAUGCCGCGUGCAGGAUGAAGGCCUUCGGGUUGUAAACUGCUUUUGUACGGAACGAAAAGCCUCUUUCUAAUAAAGAGGGGUCAUGACGGUGCCGUAAGAAUAAGCACCGGCUAACUACGUGCCAGCAGCCGCGGUAAUACGUAGGGUGCAAGCGUUAAAUCGGAAUUACUGGGCGUAAAGCGUGCGCAGGCGGUUUUUGUAAGACAGAGGUGAAAUCCCCGGGCUCAACCUGGGAACUGCCUUUGUGACUGCAAGGCUGGAGUGCGGCAGAGGGGGGAUGGAAUUCCGCGUGUAGCAGUGAAAUGCGUAGAUAUGCGGAGGAACACCGAUGGCGAAGGCAAUCCCCUGGGCCUGCANUGACGCUCAUGCACGAAAGCGUGGGGAGCAAACAGGAUUAGAUACCCUGGUAGUCCACGCCCUAAACGAUGUCAACUGGUUGUUGGGUCUUCACUGACUCAGUAACGAAGCUAAC